ACUAGAUGAUGACCCGCACGUACGUGCGGGUGUAUUUUCAAAACAUAGUCUGUUGGUUUAGUUUUCUUAAAUAAUGUAAUAUGAUUUGGCUUUUGAUAAGUUAUUUUUAUUUAAUUAAGUUGAAGGAAUAUUGACUGCAUUUUGUAACUGGAUUAGUAGAAUAUAAAAUGAAAAAGAUGGAAAACUAAAGUUUAUAAUGAGAAAGUCUUGAAGAUGGUAUUAAAAAUAAUGUAAACGAAGUCAUACUUGCAGAAAAAUAAAAAGAAAAAAUGCAGAACUAUAAUUUAAAGGUUCUUGAACACUUCUUUGAAGAUCACAUAAGUUUCUUCUUUGGUUUGCCAUCUUUAUCAACGAUGAGGACUUUCAGUCCCUUUUUAGAAGUAACUCUUCAAAGAGCAACGUAGAGCUGUCCAUGUGAAAAACAUGGUUUAAGGAGGUAAAGACCAACAUUACUCAAAGACUGUCCUUGACAUUUAUUAAUUGUCAUGGCGAACGCAACAGCUAACAGCAAGAAAAUAUAUAUAAGAGAUUCGGAUGGGAUAUUAGUAUUCCAUUUAAUUUUUGUUAGAAUAAUUAAUUGUUACAAAUUAGCGGACAUUAAACGAAUUUUCUUUAGAUUUUGAAAAUUUAUAGAUUAUCUUUUCAAAAAUACCAAAAUUAAACUUCUUGAAAGUUUUGUCUCCAAGUAAAACUUUACCGUCCCAAUAAUAAUCCUUACCCAAGUUAGUGUGAGAUCGAGAACUGAAUUUAAUUCAAUUUUUUUGUUAAUAUUCCCUUGCCCAUAAUGUUUCCAUAAUCCCUAUUAUAUUGAGAGAAAAUCAAAUUGUACAUGCGGGAUUAUUUUGAAAAGUUUUGAAUUUAUUAUGUAGAUGUUAUUUUGGUAAAAACAAAAUUUUGGUUGGACAAACUGAAAGUUGUCGUUAUUUAUUGGUAUUUAUUCAUGAAACUUAUCUUUAUGGAUUAUCACAGUCAAUGCAGUUAUGGUUUUCAAAUCUAGUUAAUAUUUUGUUUCCAAAAACAAUUAUUCGUUUAAAAAAAAGAAAGAAUAUUUCUGUGAAUUUUUUUUCUUUCAUUUUGAUAUAUUUGUAUUAAAAAAUUUGUGAUAUUAACAUAAUGAUUCAUAUUGAAUCAUAUUCAUGGUACCGUUAUGAAAUCACAUUAUAUGAUUCCCAAAGAUUUAUAUUAUUUGAACUUAUAAUUAUCUUUCCAAAAUUAUAUUGGAGAUUAUUUGUUCGUAUCAGUUUGAAUACACAAUUAUAACCAAUCCUCUCACAUAUGUUUUAUUUUGUUUGAUUACUGCAGUUUAAAUAGAACACAAAGUAAAUGAAUUUAAACAAAAACUUGAAUUAACAAUUUGUAAACGAUUAUAUACAAUAUAUCAAUAAACAUCUUGAUUUUUUUAUACCACAUAUAUGUGUUAUACACAUAUAUUACCUAUGCUAUAUGUGUGGUGUGUGGAUGAAUUCAUAAAUAUACUAUAAAAUUUAAACACAAUCAAUUAGUGAAAAUUGAUUAGAAUCAAUAACUUGAGAAUAUUCUUCAUGACAACACUCCUUCAUGUUCAACCUUACAUGUUUUCUCUGUUCUUUUACAGCCUGCAAACAUAUAUAUAUAUAUAUAUAUACAUAUAAAUAUUAAAAUCAUGUGUGACAAAAAAAAAAAAAAUCGUCUAUAUAUUGGUACCUACACGUAUCUAUAUUUGUACCUUCAUGUAUCUUAUCUAUAAUAAUAUAUAUAAAUGAACAUAUCAAUAUAAAAUACUGACUCGAUACAAACUAAUGAUAGUCUUAGAUAUAAUUUCUUAAAGGUAAACAAAACAUUUAAUUGUUGAAUGGUUAGUAUUUCGUCAACAAUGAUGUAAAUGGGAACCCUUUAUAUCAGAAGGAAAAUAUUAGAAUACUAAAAACAGAAUCAUAAAAAAAAAAACUUAUAAGAGUAGUGUAAAAUCGAAGAAAAACGUCUCAUAUAUUUUCUUGAGUUAAGCAUGAAUUUCUUAACCCUGUAAAAUUACAAUUAAACAUAGAUUAGUUUCAUAUUUAAGAAAGAGUUUACAAAUAGAAAAGAAGUAUGAAUACUAACUAUAUCAUCCGAUAAAAUAACCUUCAAUAAAUCCCCACUGGUUUGGAAAAGCUUCAAAUCACCAAGGUUAGUUGAUUCGGAUCUGCCAUCGUUGACAUCAAUUUUAGUAUACAAAAUUAGAGAUUUCAAGUAGGAUAGGGUAUAAUGCUAUAUGUCUAACGAUAAUUAUAUUUAUAGGGGAUGUCAGCGGUUCCAUCAAAUAGGAUAAAUGCAUUUGAUACCAUAUAUUUUCAUAUAAAAGAAACUUAACAAAAUUAUGAUUUAGUUGAUUAGUUUAGAUUUUUUUUGCGUAGUAGGUAGUCGUAUUUUUGUUUUUUUGGUCAAGUUUAGGAAUUUUUGAUUUUGUAAUAGUAUUGAGAAGUUAUUAAGAGCUAUAUUUUAGGAAUGAGUAAGUAAUAUUGAGAAGUUAUAUGUAUUCCUACAAUUAUGGGUUAUAACUAAAUUGUAGGAAAUUAUCUCUAUAUUUUUUUUUUUACCAAACUAUCUCUAUAUUUGUUUUGUGUUAUAACUAAAUUUAGACACCUUUUUAAUUGUAUAUACUAUGUUCAUCUUAUACAAAAUGCUUCCCUUUUAAUAGUAUAGAUU
rnacentral:lncRNA from 1 species